GAUGAACGCUGGCGGCGUGCCUAAUACAUGCAAGUCGAGCGAACAGACGAGGAGCUUGCUCCUCUGACGUUAGCGGCGGACGGGUGAGUAACACGUGGAUAACCUACCUAUAAGACUGGGAUAACUUCGGGAAACCGGAGCUAAUACCGGAUAAUAUAUUGAACCGCAUGGUUCAAUAGUGAAAGACGGUUUUGCUGUCACUUAUAGAUGGAUCCGCGCCGCAUUAGCUAGUUGGUAAGGUAACGGCUUACCAAGGCAACGAUGCGUAGCCGACCUGAGAGGGUGAUCGGCCACACGGGAACUGAGACACGGUCCAGACUCCUACGGGAGGCAGCAGUAGGGAAUCUUCCGCAAUGGGCGAAAGCCUGACGGAGCAACGCCGCGUGAGUGAUGAAGGUCUUCGGAUCGUAAAACUCUGUUAUUAGGGAAGAACAAAUGUGUAAGUAACUAUGCACGUCUUGACGGUACCUAAUCAGAAGGCCACGGCUAACUACGUG
rnacentral:rRNA from 1 species